rnacentral:rRNA from 1 species
GUCCACGCCCUAAACGAUGGCAACUAGUUGUUGGGGGAGCAAUCCCUUAGUAACGAAGCUAACGCGUGAAGUUGCCCGCCUGGGGAGUACGGUCGCAAGAUUAAAACUCAAAGGAAUUGACGGGGGCCCGCACAAGCGGUGGAUGAUGUGGUUUAAUUCGAUGCAACGCGAAAAACCUUACCUACCCUUGACAUGCCCGGAACGCCGCUGAGAGGUGGUGGUGCCCGAAAGGGAGCCGGGGCACAGGUGCUGCAUGGCUGUCGU